rnacentral:rRNA from 1 species
CGAACGGCCACAUUGGGACUGAGACACGGCCCAGACUCCUACGGGAGGCAGCAGUGGGGAAUAUUGCACAAUGGGGGAAACCCUGAUGCAGCGACGCCGCGUGGAGGAAGAAGGUCUUCGGAUUGUAAACUCCUGUUGUUGGGGAAGAUAAUGACGGUACCCAACAAGGAAGUGACGGCUAACUACAUGCCAGCAGCCGCGGUAAAACGUAGGUCACAAGCGUUGUCCGGAAUUACUGGGUGUAAAGGGAGCGCAGGCGGGAAGACAAGUUGGAAGUGAAAUCUAUGGGCUCAACCCAUAAACUGCUUUCAAAACUGUUUUUCUUGAGUAGUGCAGAGGUAGGCGGAAUUCCCGGUGUAGCGGUGGAAUGCGUAGAUAUCGGGAGGAACACCAGUGGCGAAGGCGGCCUACUGGGCACCAACUGACGCUGAGGCUCGAAAGUGUGGGUAGCAAACAGGAUUAGAUACCCUGGUAGUCCACACCGUAACGAUGAUUACUAGGUGUUGGAGGAUUGACCCCUUCAGUGCCGCAGUUAACACAAUAAGUAAUCCACCUGGGGAGUACGACCGCAAGGUUGAAACUCAAAGGAAUUGACGGGGGCCCGCACAAGCAGUGGAGUAUGUGGUUUAAUUCGACGCAACGCGAAGAACCUUACCAAGUCUUGACAUCCCUUGACAGACAUAGAAAUAUGUAUUCUCUUCGGAGCAAGGAGACAGGUGGUGCAUGGUUGUCGUCAGCUCGUGUCGUGAGAUGUUGGGUUAAGUCCCGCAACGAGUGCAACCCUUAUGGUCAGUUACUACGCAAGAGGACUCUGGCCAGACUGCCGUUGACAAAACGGAGGAAGGUGGGGAUGACGUCAAAUCAUCAUGCCCUUUAUGACUUGGGCUACACACGUACUACAAUGGCGUUAAACAAAGAGAAGCAAGACCGCGAGGUGGAGCAAAACUCAGAAACAACGUCCCAGUUCGGACUGCAGGCUGCAACUCGCCUGCACGAAGUCGGAAUUGCUAGUAAUCGUGGAUCAGCAUGCCACGGUGAAUACGUUCCCGGGCCUUGUACACACCGCCCGUCACACCAUGAGAGCCGGGGGGACCCGAAGUCGGUAGUCUAACCGCAAGGAGGACGCCGCCGAAGGUAAAACUGGUGAUUGGGGUGAAGUCGUAACAAGGUAGCCGUGGGAGAACCUGCGGCUG